rnacentral:rRNA from 1 species
ACUACGGGAGGCAGCAGUGAGGAAUAUUGGUCAAUGGACGAGAGUCUGAACCAGCCAAGUAGCGUGAAGGAUGACUGCCCUAUGGGUUGUAAACUUCUUUUAUAUGGGAAUAAAACGUUCCACGUGUGGGAUUUUGUAUGUACCAUAUGAAUAAGGAUCGGCUAACUCCGUGCCAGCAGCCGCGGUAAUACGGAGGAUCCGAGCUUUAUCCGGAUUUCUUGGGUUUACAGGGUGCGUAGGUGGGUUGUUAAGUCAGUUGUGAAAGUUUGCGGCUCAACCGCAAAAUUGCAGUUGAAACUGGCAGUCUUGAGUACAGUAGAGGUAGGCGGAAUUCGUGGUGUAGCGGUGAAAUGCUUAGAUAUCGCGAAGAACUCCGAUUGCGAAGGCAGCUCACUGGACUGCAACUGACACUGAGGCUCGAAAGUGUGGGUAUCAAACAGGAUUAGAUACCCCUGUAGUC